ensembl:lncRNA
UAAACCGCAGCUGGUGACUUUCUGCCUUUUGAUGAUGGGUGUUCACAUCAGAAGGGCUUGUAAACAGAAGGGAGUGUUUAACAGCCUUUUGUUGAAAAGCUGAUCUAUCUUUAUUUGCAUGGCUGUAACAGUACAGUGCCGCAAACUGUUCGCUAAACUGUCUGUUGUUUGUUCUUCUGCGAAGCGCUCAUAAUAAAUCUCAGUAGGGGUUGACAACACUCAUAUUUAACAGCUAUGGCGUGAUGAAGCUUCUGGGGCUUGAAGUUUUUUUUUUUUGAAGUACUGCUAUAGAAGCUGUUUUCCUUUAUAGUGGCAUCCAAUCAACUCCCAGAGACCAAAAACGCAUCAAUUGAUUAUUUAGGUUAUGGCCUGACCAUGACAGCUGUGCAGCAACAUAGCCCAAAUAGAAAUAAAUCAUUGACUUUUUUUCUCAAUUAAGUAGGUUAAUAACUGAAAAUGGCGUGUAAUGUUUUAUUUAACUUUGGGGCAGGGACAGUGAAAAGGGCCAGCACAUGUUGUGGAGGGCCGAGGGAGGCGCAGCGAGCUUCAUUCGCUCUGGGGUGCGAGCGGAGCUAAGGACUCUGAGAAUGAUACCCGCCCCUUAGGCCAUUCCAUAUUAAACAAGUGCUUUGUAAGUGUGCCGUCAUUACUAUUCAUCACAAAUAAAUACUUAAGCACAGAGAGCUUAGUGCCCCGCUGUUAUACAGUUCUCCAUUAUUACUGUGGCCUGGCCGUCUGGCUGCCUGCUCGGCUGCACUGUGCCCAGACUCUUCCUGUGUCCUUCAGCCUUCUGGAGCGAGAGAGAGACAGCACAAGCGAGAGAGAGGGUGACAUAUAUGCCUGUCCAGCCUGCCUGCCAGUGCCCUUUAAGCAGCACGGCUGAGCUAAAGGGCAGCCAGUGAAUGCGGCACAGUCCCUGUUCGCUGACUGAAACGAGAUGGGAAGAGUCCACGAAAACCAACACACCCUGAAAAAAGAACGAGAGAAGAGAGAGAGAACACAUCUUUGUAACAUAUUUGCCCAAAAGGUGGAUUCAGACCAACAAAAUGGAGAGAGUUAACGUUAUCCAGGGAGAUGAAUGGAUUUCGUCUGACAUUUACCAUUGUAUGGAGUACUGUAUAUCUCCCACAUGUAAUAUUACUGAAUGUGAAGUUACCUGAUAUAGUCAGAUAUACCAUUUUUUCUUAAGUAUCUAGUUGCAGUGCUUUAUAAUAAAGAGAGUUCUUUCCAUAAAAUGUCA